rnacentral:rRNA from 1 species
AUUGAACGCUGGCGGCAGGCCUAACACAUGCAAGUCGAACGGUAACAGGAAGCAGCUUGCUGCUUUGCUGACGAGUGGCGGACGGGUGAGUAAUGUCUGGGAAACUGCCUGAUGGAGGGGGAUAACUACUGGAAACGGUAGCUAAUACCGCAUAACGUCGCGAGACCAAAGAGGGGGACCUUCGGGCCUCUUGCCAUCGGAUGUGCCCAGAUGGGAUUAGCUAGUAGGUGGGGUAACGGCUCACCUAGGCGACGAUCCCUAGCUGGUCUGAGAGGAUGACCAGCCACACUGGAACUGAGACACGGUCCAGACUCCUACAGGAGGCAGCAGUGGGGAAUAUUGCACAAUGGGCGCAAGCCUGAUGCAGCCAUGCCGCGUGUAUGAAGAAGGCCUUCGGGUUGUAAAGUACUUUCAGCGGGGAGGAAGGGAGUAAAGUUAAUACCUUUGCUCAUUGACGUUACCCGCAGAAGAAGCACCGGCUAACCCCGUG